UAGCCUAGUGGUUAAGGCUAUGGAUCGCCAAUCCGGAGGGACGGGUUCGAUUCCCGU
rnacentral:tRNA from 1 species